UACAGAUCUAGGGUUUGCGUUCAAUAUUCUGUAUCUGAUACUUGGAUGGUCUGAGUCAAAAUCGACAGUACGAUGAUACAUGGAAGGAUGAAGGUGUUGACGGUUUUCAAUUCUUCACUCCAAUCGGAUAAGGCAAAAGGGAGGUGAUUGGUGUAUAACUAGACAUACAGAAGGUCCACAAUACGUUUCUUGAUCUUGGUGAUUCGAAUAUUCUUCGGCCAUACAUGAGUGAUGCAAUACAGAUAUAUCUAAAGCAUGUGAAGUUUUUAAAGCAAAAGAAGCAACACCUUCAGUUGCAGUUUCAGCUUUGCGUACACUUCAAUAUGAGGUCACAAAAACCUACGUACAAAGUGUUAAUUCAUGGAUGAGGUCUUCAACUAAAGAGAUAUUAAAGCGAAUUGUGGGCCCUGGUUUCUGUUCUAGAAAGAAACUAAUCUCCUGGUGCACAAUUUCUCCCUUGCCUUUAGGAUUUCGUUCAGUUAUGGUCACUGCAAAGGAUCAAAUAGAUAUCUAUCUAUACUAUAUAUAAAAGCAUAUCCCAAGGACUUCUUAAGGUAAUUUGCAAACUACGAAUGAGAAGAAUGAGAAGAAAUCCAAAAAGGAAAUCGGAAUGUCUAAAUGUUACCAGAGAUCUGGCUCAAUUCCCUUUCGUUGUUCUUUUUUUUUAUCUCAGGCUUCAGCAAACUACGAAUGAGAAGAAUGAGAAGAAAUCCAAAAGGAAAUCAGAAUUGAAGCUGCAAGCGGUAGAUUGGUGUAAAAAACUUGUAGGAUUUGUUGGUGGUCAGAGAUUGACUGUGUGGUGAUCGACAUUGUGGAGAAGUACUUUGCAAUUUGGGAUUUGUUGGUGGUCAGGUUUUUUUUUUACUCUGCGGAAUUUUAGAAUCUAGAUCUGAGAUUGUGAAUUGUUUCAAUGUGAAUGUAAUCUAUCGAUCUUACUUGUAAAUACGUUUCGGACAGUGAAUACUAACUACUUACGUGUUUGGAUGUGCUUUUCACAGGGUAUGUAACUGAGAAAAGGAGCUCUGUUUCAUCAAGACAGAAUGUGACUUUAGAUUCGCCGUUAAUUAAAGUAACACCUUAUUCUGACAUGUGUUAACAUAACAUUUUACAGAAACGGUUCGGGUCGAACAUACAUCUGGUGGGUGGAGAUGGAUGGAUUCCUGCUUAUUUUACUGUUCGCGUCGAAACGGUUCGGGUCGAAACGGACAAACGAUACCGGAUGAAAUGGUACGCGUUGAACCCGUCUCGGUCCGAAACUUAAUUAUUUUGUCGGAUUAUUCCUUCAGGUGGUGGUGGUGGUGUUUUUGCUGAUGCUGCUGCAAAGUUUCGAUAUCGUGAUGCGUUUUGAUGCUAUUGGAUGUACUUAUAACUACGUUUGUUAUGUUGAGGAAGAAGGUAGUAGGAAUGUUAGUUUAAAGUUAAAAAAAUGGGAUCUGGAAUGCGAGUGAAGGAUUAUUCGUAACCGUGGUCUUAAAAGCAGAAAUCAGAAUAAUGAAUCAUAAACUAAAGUUCGAGUUAUGUCAGGAACCUACUACAUCUUACAGAAGGGACUGAUUAUCGUGUUUUGAUAAUACAUAACAAGCCGUUUUUAGGGUGCCUGGAUUUGAUACUGAUCAUCUUCUUAUCGUGUUUUGAUAGCUGUUUUUAGGAUGCUGGGGAUUGAUACCGAUUAUCUGCUUAUCGUGUUUCGAUACAAUAACAAUAUGUUUUUAGGGUGCCAGGUUGAUAUUGAUUAUCUGAUUAUAUAUGGAGUGAAAUACGGAAAUGAGCUGCUUAGAAUGAUAAGUAGUUUGUGGUUUCUUAUCUCAAGCUGAUUAUCUCGAAAAUUGAAAUAGGAGUUGUAAUAAGCAAUCCCAAGUAACUGUGAAUGAUUUCUGAGUGUUAAAGGAGGUAUGAUAAAAAGUUCAUUUGUUAUUAAAAUUAAUUUAAUUUUUUGCCUUAUGUGGUCUUUUUGUGUUCCUUUGCAUAUAAACUUUAUGUUGUCAUUGAUAAAUCUGUUGUAUAGACAUAUGAAUUAGCCAGACGUCAGGUUCUAGAGAAGAUUGAACGUGUUGGGUGUGUAAAUAAACAUGUUUUAGUAAUGCAUGCCAAGUGUUUGUUGAUACGUUUCAAGGAAUUUAGCCAUUAUUUUCCUUUUUAAACAGCCAAGAUUUUCGAUGUGAAUAACUAAAUAGAGCAUGCUUCUUGUAUUAGCUAACAACGGAUUAAUUUUUUUAGUAAUUAGCUUAUACACUCAUCUUUUUGUUCGGUUUCAGAAAUAGCGAUGGUUUUGAAGGGUUUUAUGUUGGUGGACUAAGGUUUAUGAUAGUUGUAUUGUUCGAAUUUCAAUUUCAAGUUAUAUAUAGAAAACAAUCUGUUUAAGAUAACCCAGUUGAAUUUGACCCGUUUGUCCUUUGACCCAUUACUCAACACGCCCAACCUCGAUCGUCUACAUUUUAUUACUCAAUGAACCUGACCUUGCCCAUUUACACGUUAUUAUUUAACGCAUUCGACCUUGCAGAUGGGAAACGUGAAAGCAUGAGGAAAUGCAAUACCCCUAAAACAAUAUCUCAUGUAUUAACCUGCUCACUUUAGAAACUUGUCAAAUGUAGUUAUAUUUCUUUCGUACACAGUUAAAAAGAAAAUGCCUAAAGAAGAGUGCAGGUUAGAUGGGCUCAGCCAAAUCGUUUGUAUUAAAGUGUGGGUAUGUAUAUGCGUAUUACAAUCAAAUCUAUCCUUUUAUGAUGAUUUGGACUUUAUAUUCAAAGUUAUGGGUCGAUUUGGUUUAAGCUUUAUUCUUAGUGGGUCAGAAUGAACGUAUUUGAAAUUAAAAGAAAUUCAUCGGGUCAUAUUUGUAAUACGUGUUAUGGUACUUUCAACUCAUUCCACAAAAUGUGUUGUUAUUUAUCUACAAUUCUUUUGCUGUUAGAUUUGCAUAAGAAAACUAAAACAAUAGUUUAUUUUUAUUUCAGCAAAACUUAAAGGUCACCAGGUAGGUGCGUGGCACUAGGGCAUUGUUUCUGUGAAACUACGAUCUUGCGUUUGGCUGCUGCUAUAAAGGUAAAACUGGAUCGUAAACAAAGGCUUGAUUUCUGCCAUAGAGGUAAGCCAGCAAUCUAAACCUUUAAAUAAAAUAUAUGGUAGUUUGUAUGGAUUAAUGGGCUUCGGACCACUUUCACCCCUUUUGAUUCAUUCCGGACCAUCCCUAUGUCAAUAUAAAUUGCAUAUAGUGGGUCAUCAAGUUUCUUGACCUGCAGGUAACACAGAACCAUUUUUGUGGUUGUAAAAAAGUUUAGUGGUUUUUGUAGUUAGAAAAAAAUACGAGUGGCUUCAGUACGACAUUGAAGAAGUUGUAGCAAGAAAGAAUGUUCAGUGCAAAGUAUUUGGUCUUUUUGUUUAAUUUUUAAAAGUUUAUAACUAUUGUAAUAUGAGUUGGCAAUUCACGUUGAGAACUUGAGAUAUUAAUUUAAUCAAAACUUUAUUAUAUGUUUAGAACACAGCAAAGAGUUGGCAAUUCAGGUUUAGAGAUUAAUUUAAUCAAAACUUUAUUAUAUGUUUAGAACACAGCAAAAAAAACAUAGCCAAAUUCCAUACAUUUAUCAAUUGAUUUUUUUUUAUUUAAUGAUUUAUGUAAUGUAAUAUUAAUGGUUAGACCGAACGGUAUGGGGGACGUCUCUGGAAAAGCGAAGCCCGUCCACACCACCCCCUCUCGGUCCGUCCCGUCGCCAAACUCACCCCCAUUGCCGCUUGUGGCAAUCCUCCCUUUUCCUUAUCCAACACACACAUGCACAUUACCAGAUAAAAGAUUAAAAGGCUGAAGAUGCGACAACCUAACAAAACUCAUAAGCAAGCCUUUAGAAAAGAUUAUAAGUUUGGUGGGACUAGGAGGGCUAUGAAAUUGUUCGGUUGGAACAUGAAGUUUGGUGGGGUUUAGUGUAUAUACCAUCCUUUUAACACAUUUGUGUUACUUAUUUUUUAAUCUUUUAUCAGGUAUCUAGAUGCAUUGACAAACUUGCUCACAAGAAUUAAGAUUUGGGUUCUUAAAUGUGAUAAAAUGAAGGGGUAUUGGAUUUUAAUAAAUCCCAAGUUUCACUAAUUGGCCGGUAAUAAUCCCAACUUCAAAAAUUGCCUACAACAGUCCCAACUUGUAAGAUUUUGGCCACCAAUGAUCCUUGUCUAACUGGGUUAUAACCUUGUUGGGCUGGUGACUUGCAACUUAUUCCGGCGACCCGUUUUACCCCUGAAACCACCAAACGAGACCACCACCACCAAUCAUCUCCGACCUCCUGUAAUCUUCUCCGCUUCUCAAAAGUUUAAAAUUUCCACCAUCUACGCAACUCCGGUGACCUGCAGCUUAUUCCGACGACCUUCUUUACCCCUGAAACCACCAAAGGAGACCACCACUUGUCAUCUCCAACCUCUAGUGACCUUCUCCG